GCCUCCUUAGCUCAGGGGUAGAGCAGCUCCCUCGUAAAGAGCAGGUCGCCGGUUCAAAUCCGGCAGGGGGCU
rfam:Arthrobacter arilaitensis RE117 chromosome, complete sequence.